rnacentral:tRNA from 1 species
GCCCGGGUGGUGAAAUUGGUAGACACGCAAGACUUAAAAUCUUGUUUCCUUUGGGAAGUGCCGGUUCGACCCCGGCCCCGGGCACCA